CAAAUUGCAGUAAAAUGUUCUUAAUGCUAAGCCCGUAAAACCAGGGAUCAGGGCCACUCAAGGGGUGGGGGGUGUAGGUUUGUCUCUUUAGCUGGCAGGAUUGGAGAAGGUCGUGUAUGUUUUCGGUGCUUAUUAAAACGAUGAUGCAUAAAAUCCCCCCAAGUUGUCAGAAAGCAUGAGCACACGGAGUCGGUAUUCUCUCCCCCUACUUUUGUAAAAAAAAAAUUAAAAAAAACUGUGGCUGUGGACGGAGCUUUGCAAAAUUCACCCAUGAUCAACACCUGCAUGCGCGGUAAUAGCGACAGACUUCAAAGCUUGCACAUCUGCAAUACCCAGGGAGGUUAUCCGUUCUCCCAGACAGAUAUCUAUGGCAUGUGUGCUACAGCUAUAGCACUCCGCAAAAAGACCAGGACUUCAAUUUGAACGGAAAAAAACUUUAUCUAUGGGUUUAUAGUCGGUGUCAAGGAUUGAGUGGCUUUUUUUCUUUUUUGGACACACGCGUAAAAGGGAAGCAUUACGCAAUGGUGGAAAUACACAGAGAGUGCAGCAGGAGGGAAGGGAAUUGCCAUCCAGCCUUAUCUCCAGUUCCAGUCAACUAGAGGCCCUGAAAGAGUGUGCACCAUCAUCAGAGCUGGCCAUUUGAUAGGAUUCUGGCACUGCACCUAAUCAAUCUGUGGCAUAGAGCCGCCAGAAGACCUGUAACAAAGCUCAAAGAGCCUCACAAAUGGCCUAGUGCAGGGGAUAAGCCCCUGCACAGGAUUACAUAUUGAUUUUGAAUGUAUAAAAAUAAAUAUAUAUAUAUAUGUAAUAAAAACGUAUCAUACAAAACCCGAGACGGACUACAAAAGUAGGCAGUAGUCUGUGCAUGAAUCUCCCCUUUAAGAGCAGGAGCUUCAACUUUCAAAUACGGAGACCCCGAGCGUGAACCAAAACCUCGAAAAAAUGGCUAGAGAAAUCAAAAGCCAGGGGGGUGAGGUGUGGUAGCAGUGCAUUUGUUGCAGGGAGUCACUACAGCUCCACUUCGCCUUUUUGAGGCGAAGGGUCAAUAUGGCGGCUACACAUAUUACUCAAAUGAAAACGUGCAUACUUGCUACGUCUCAGCCGCUACAUCCGGGGGGGCAUCUCGACAGACAGAUGCCCCCCCUCCCCCCCCCUGUGUAAACACUAUUGUCUUGUUGAGCCCACAGUAUGAAUGGUACUAGCGGUGCAAUGUUUUUUGAAACGGCUGAAAUGUAUAGACAUUUUCAUAAUAUUUUAGACUUGUUUUAAUUGAGUUUUUACCUGAAAUCGCAGCGAUAGCCUGUUACGUUCUGGAAUUGUUGCAGUAGCUGCUGGCUGCACUGAGCCACGUAAAACUAUGGAAGCCCAUCCCUACCACCAAAAAACAUGUCAAAUGCAGAUCAUACAAGUAUGUUUUGUCUUCUUCCUUUGUAACAUUGUGUGAUGAUUUCAGAGGUGGCACCACUGGUCCCAGAGUGGUUAGGGGGGGGGGGGAUUGUUUUCCUGGGGCUUAGAGUUUUUCCUAAUCUGGUAGUAGGCUAACCUAACCAACAUCCGGACCCUAGUUGUUGCAUAUGACGUUGUUAUAAAUCAGCAGUAAAAAAAAAACUUUUUUUUUUUUAAUGGGUUUCAUACGGGCUAUGAUGGGACCACAUAGCUUUUCUAAACAUACGGUUUAAAAAAAUAAAUAAUAAUAAUCCCUGGGAAAACUCCUGCCCCUAGGGAGGAUGAAAACAUUAAAACCCUUCACACAGACAAAGAGAACAACAAUUGGCCCAAAACGAACAUGAAAACAAACAGGGCUGAGUUCGCUGUAUGCAGGGUUGCAGGGUAUAGACCUUUGCGUCUGUAAUUGAAAAGAUACUCAUACAUUAUGACAUCACCAUUGGGUUGAUUGAUUCAUUCCAGUCAAUCAUUUUGGAUUAAAAAGGCCAAGGCAGCCAAGCCCCCUGAAGUGUGAAUACAAAAACUACAUUUGAUCACAUUUGAUCACAUUUGAUCACAUUUGAUCACAUUUGAUCACAUUUUCUCAGAACACAAAUAAAUAGCCUCUAAGUAAAUAGCUUGAGCUAUUAAAAACAUGACGCUAUGUUUCCCCUGGCCCAGAUGGGAUCAGAGCGCACAGGCUUCUCUUAGCUACCUGCAGCUGUGGUUGUUAUCAGUAGGCUACAGUUGAUCAGACUGAAGCACAGACUAAUUGUGCACGUUGACAAAUCACAAGGGAAAUCGUAUUACAUUUCUGGGGUGGCGGUUUCGGGCUUCCAUAUAAAACAGCUUGUUGGGGUGAAUUCACAUAAAACCAAGUUUUCAGUCGCAAUUUGCUUGUACCACAUGUAACGAUUUGCAUCGUCUUGAUAAAAAUGAAGCCUGGUCUGUUGUGAUGCUGUACGGUAGGCCUACUGUCCUUUUACAUUUGAAUGAGAGGGCUCGUCGUAAAUUCUUGAUAGGCUAACGUUACUUGAUGAAGACACGCUGUCAUAGCAACUGUGUUACUGUCUUGAAGCUCAAACGUAAUGAGUGUAGCCUACAGACAUGAAAAUAAACCCUUAAAUUGUCUACACACA